GCCUCUGGUCGAUGGAACA
rnacentral:sRNA from 1 species